CCAGGCUGCAGAGAAUCCAGUCACCAAUCUAUGCAGGCCCACAAGUUGCCUGAGGGCUUGUUGUUGGGAGGGGCCAGUCUCUAGGGUGGGCUGCCUGCCCUGGCUGAGCUGGAUUAAAUGGGUGCUCUAGCGGGUGGGGCAGACCCUGGGCUAGCAGGCCCCAGGGAGAACUCCAAUGGCGUCUGUGUCAGCACGCCCACACCAGGCCACAACAAUGGCAGCUGCCAAUGUCCCAGUCCCUGGAGGGGUCUUACCCCUCACCGAGAUGCACUCAGGGCCUAUUAGCACCUGUGGUGACCCUCCCGUGGCUGUCAAUGAAUCAUGUAUCUGGAUUCCAUAUCAAACAUUUCCCACCAUCAGGGAGACAGAUGCACCGUCACAGCAUCAUUUCGGCUGCACCUGGGGAGUCAGAGUCAGAGAAUGAUGGAGCUGUGUUGUUCUGAAGCCUUAGGCACCUGCUGCUCAGAAUCUCCAUGAAGCCACUGCAGAAGGCUCUGGAAAGAGGCACUUGACCUUCCCUUACAUCAGAAGAGAGAAGAGCCAGGGACUAGCAUUGGAAUCAGUGCCCAUUCUAGCUGGAGGGGUUCACUUUUGCUCUUGAGAAGAAACAGAAGUGUUUGAAGAUUCAAUAAAGCUUCUGUUCAUUAUCAAACCCCAGCAGGACUUUAUGAUAAUUUUUAUAACUUCUUCAUUCAAAACUCUGGGUGCUUUGAAGGUUAAUAACUCGUGUUUAUCAAAACUUCCCUUCAAGGAACUCAGAGAGCUUUGUAAUUCAGCAGCACCAUAGGACGAGGGAACAAGAAACAGGGAGAGGAUGAACAGAUGAGAUUAUUCCAAUUUAGGAGAACUUAUAAUAUUAAUAGCUCCAACAGGAAGUUUAAGUGUUUUAGAAAAUCGCAAAACAAGUCGUGAGCCAUCCAGGAAGAGAUCUCUUCACAACGCAGCACUGGCAGCCUCAGACUACCAUCUGGCUCUACUACUGUGAACUCAGGGGAGCUGGACCUCUGCAGCUCACGUUUCUCAUCUGUAAAAUGGGACAAUAAGUCCUACUUCUGUGUUGUUGUGGUAUUAAUGAGGUAAAGGAGAAAAUGUACCAGCACAAUGCUCGGCACAUCGUUAGUGCUUGGUGACUAUUACCUCCCCUCCCACCUUCUGUAGGGAGCCACAGACUAUCCCCACGUCAGAGACGCAGGGAUGUAGAGGGUGUUGGAGGAUGAGGGAACAGUGAUCAUUUUCCUUUUCUGGAAACUGACAUCCAAAGGGUACAACCCAGUUUUGUGAGAAGACUGACUCUCUCUCCCCAAAAUCUGGAACAAAAGGGUCUUAAAGUCAUAUGGAGAAGAGAAAAGGAAGGACCCAUACAACCAAAGGAUCCUUAGGAGCUUUGCUGGUGAUCCUUAGGAGCAUGACUGACUGAUGUGGGGAGCCAAGGCCUGCACUGUUCCCACCCAGGCUCCCCCAUUGCACGUUCUGAACUAGACUUGGGUAAGAAAGAGAAGAAUCCUUCUCUUGGUUCCUCUGUCAGGUCCUUUUACUGAUUGUGGGCUCUGUCCAUCCAUGGGAAUCCAUGAGAUGAUUGUGAGAAGCAGAAGCUGUGGACUUGCAGCCAGAGGUCUGAGGUCCCUUUUGGUCCCCCUGCCUGAGCUCGUCUAUCUUUGGCACACUCUAGCCCUGGAAGGCUUUGCUAGACAUCUUGCCAUUAAUGGUAUUGCUUGGAUUCACCUCCUCCUGUCCUGCAUCUUAGAGCAAGUGAAUUUUGGACUUACAUUAUUUGCAUAUGUCAGCCAGUGAAAAGAUAAAGGCAGACGAUGCCAAGGAAGAAGAUGGUGGAGCAUCACAGGUGGUUCUGGUGAUAGAGAAAUGAUGACUAGGAAGUGGCUGUCAUGUUGCUUAAUCUCAUGGCCAACUUAUAUCAUCUAAAAAGAGUACAGAAUAGUUCUCUCAAUUCCAACGGGAGCCACCCUCAGCAGCAAGACCAUCUCACGGACGCCACAUUCUCAACAUGGUGUAGAUACAAAAGAAGCCAGCUACUGGACAGAGUGCUGGGAAUAGAAUGCAGAACAAACACAGUCCUGCUCCAAGGAUUUGGUGCCUGGUGGGGGAGACAGGUUGGGUUCCCAGGAAAUAGAUUCUUGAAUGGAGAGUUGCAUGGAGAUUUAUUCUGGAGAGCUCUUGGAAUUACGCCUGUGAGGAAGUGAGAAAGCCAUGAUUGGGCAGAGGAAGAAGCUGAUCACUGAAGUGGUUGAAGCUGAAGCCUCAGCUAAUCCUACUGGAAGCUCUGGAACCAUUCAGAGUUGUCCUCAAGUCGAAGCAAAGAGUCUGUGCCCUUGUGUCCAUCUAUCAGCAGGUCAUUGGCUAUGGGUCACUCUCUUUGGGAGGGAGCAUAACUUUGAUAAAGUGUUACCUUGUGGCAGAGAGCAAUUCCUGGUGAGAGGCAGAGCUCUGAGCCAUCAGCAGCCAUCACUCUGGCAGUUGGGGAAAUGAGUGUGUCCACCUUGAAAAGAGUAGCUGGACAGAGCACCAAGGGUCCAGGAAAGUCAACCAACAUGGCCCUGCCAGCUCAGGCCUGAGCCUUCUUAUUCACUAUUUCAGAAGGAGAGAAUUUCUUUUCAGGUGAUGUUUGUGAGAAGAGAAUUUCAGUAUCUAGCCUGGGUUCCUACUGCCCCUGUGAUGGAGGAGAUGGAGGUCAUGUGGUUGAGAGAUCCACCAUAUAUGGGAGGGACAGUCCCCCAAAGGAAUACAUGCUGCACAGACAAAAAAGGGGACCAAUGUCAACUAUAGCUUUCAAAAUCUUCUUACCCCAGAGGAUGAGAAAGCACGUCCACAAGUGAUGAGUAAUAGCAUAAAACAUUUUUUAUCACAAACUCUUCUAAAAAGUGUGACCUGAGGCGGCUUCGUCUUCUUGUUUUGUAGGUUAAGACAGAGAAGGGAAACGUUUUUUAAGUUUAUCUUUGCACUUACUCCUAAAUCUAUAUUCUACAUUUUAAUUUUGAAAAUAACUCUGCAUAUACCAUAGUGUGGGAUGGUCUGUUUUGAUUAAGAAUGUUUUUAGAAAAGGCAAGAUAAAAAAAUAAUAUAAGUUGGAAUAAUUUCCAACCUAAUGUAUAUAGAAGUACUCUUCAGUGAACAUUGUUCUCUAACUCCAUUCAUUAUUCAUCUAAAGAUUUAGACUGCUUCAUUAAUAGUAAUAUACUUGCUCACAUUUGUUGUGUACUUAUUAUUUGCCAGACACUCAAA